GAAGCAGUCAACCUGGACGAGAUUGGG
rnacentral:sRNA from 1 species